CCUACGGGAGGCAGCAGUGAGGAAUAUUGGUCAAUGGCCGGAAGGCUAAACCAGCCAAGUCGCGUGAGGGACGACUGCCCUAUGGGUUGUAAACCUCUUUUAUAAGGGAAGAAUAAAUGCUACGUGUAGCAUUAUGCCUGUACCUUAUGAAUAAGCAUCGGCUAACUCCGUGCCAGCAGCCGCGGUAAUACGGAGGAUGCGAGCGUUAUCCGGAUUUAUUGGGUUUAAAGGGUGCGUAGGCGGUUUUUUAAGUUAGUGGUUAAACGUCGGGGCUUCACCUUGAUUUGCCAUUAAUACUGUAAGACUCGAGUUCAGACGAGGUAGGCGGAAUAAGUUAAGUAGCGGUGAAAUGCUUAGAUAUAACUUAGAACUCCGAUAGCGAAGGCAGCUUACCAGACUGCGACUGACGCUGAAGCACGAGAGCGUGGGUAGCGAACAGGAUUAGAUACCCUUGUAGUC
rnacentral:rRNA from 1 species